UGCGCGAUUGCAUUGGCUUCUCCUGAGAGUUCGCGAGUCUUCCCUUCGCUCGUGUGGGACGACACCGGCUCGAAGCCUUGAACCAUCGUUAACUGCCAUUCCUCUUCUCUCGUAGCGUAGCGACCCUGCUCACGGUCACGGAGACUCGGUGCGAUUUGGAUGGAACAUUGAUGAUGGAGACUGCACGCACGUCGCUGGACCCACCAACCUGGUACAUGAAGAGGCUCUUUUCUAAACAAACCGUGCAUUGCACGGUAUUCAUCAUGCCAAAUCACGCCAGGUGAACACAAAACCCACUGCCCAAAUCAACAAAAUCAGAGAACAAGAUGAGCAAAAGUCAAAUAGUCAACAGAUUCAUGGAAUCUAUGAACAAAAAAACAAAUAAAAAACAAACAAGACGAGUUGUUUCCCCCUUUUUUUGUCCUCUCUCUCUCUCCUUGAUGCAUCGUCUCCUGUAGUGGUUGAUUCACUCCUUCUCGUGCCAUCUCGUUGAUGCA
rnacentral:lncRNA from 1 species